rnacentral:rRNA from 1 species
UACGUAGGCGGCAAGCGUUGUCCGGAAUUAUUGGGCGUAAAGCGCGCGCAGGCGGUCCUUUAAGUCUGAUGUGAAAGCCCUCGGCUCAACCGAGGAAGGUCAUUGGAAACUGGAGGACUUGAGUGCAGAAGAGGAAAGUGGAAUUCCAAGUGUAGCGGUGAAAUGCGUAGAGAUUUGGAGGAACACCAGUGGCGAAGGCGACUUUCUGGUCUGUAACUGACGCUGAGGCGCGAAAGCGUGGGGAGCAAACAGG